GACAGAGGUGCCGAGCGUUAGGCGGAAUCACUGGGCUUAAAGCGUGUGUAGGCGGAUGCCUAAGUACCUUGUGAAAUCCCACGGCUCAACCGUGGAACUGCUUGGUAUACUGGGUGUCUUGAGCUAUCUAGGGGCAACUGGAACAAACGGUGGAGCGGUGAAAUGCGUAGAUAUCGUUUGGAACGCCAAUGGUGAAAACAGGUAGCUGGGAGUGUGCUGACACUGAGACACGAAAGCCAGGGGAGCAAACGGG
rnacentral:rRNA from 1 species